CAAAUUAGAGCUUGAAAGAAAGUUUUUUAUUUACAUUAAGAAGUUAAUUGUGAAAAUCAAUUUAAUUUGA
rnacentral:tRNA from 1 species